rnacentral:rRNA from 1 species
CAGUCGGACGGUAACGGGUAAGUACUUGUACUUAUGCUGACGAGUGGCGGACGGGUGAGUAAUGCUUGGGAAUCUGUCUUAUGGAGGGGGAUAACGACGGGAAACUGUCGCUAAUACCGCGUAGAGUCGGGAGACGAAAGUGCGGGACUUAAUGGCCGCAUGCCAUGAGAUGAGCCCAAGUGUGAUUAGGUAGUUGGUGGGGUAAAGGCCUACCAAGCCGACGAUCGCUAGCUGGUCUGAGAGGAUGGCCAGCCCACACCGGGACUGAGACACGGCCCGGACUCCUACGGGAGGCAGCAGUGGGGAAUAUUGCGCAAUGGGGGCAACCCUGACGCAGCCAUGCCGCGUGAAUGAAGAAGGCCUUCGGGUUGUAAAGUUCUUUCGGUGGUGAGGAAGGGAUGUUGUUUAAUAGAUAACAUCAUUGACGUUAACUACAGAAGAAGCACCGGCUAACUCCGUGCCAGCAGCCGCGGUAAUACGGAGGGUGCGAGCGUUAAUCGGAAUAACUGGGCGUAAAGGGCACGCAGGCGGACCUUUAAGUGAGGUGUGAAAUCCCCGGGCUUAACCUGGGAAUUGCAUUUCAUACUGGGGGUCUGGAGUACUUUAGGGAGGGGUAGAAUUCCACGUGUAGCGGUGAAAUGCGUAGAGAUGUGGAGGAAUACCGAAGGCGAAGGCAGCCCCUUGGGGAUGUACUGACGCUGAUGUGCGAAAGCGUGGGGAGCAAACAGGAUUAGAUACCCUGGUAGUCCACGCUGUAAACGGUGUCGAUUUGGGGAUUGGGGUUUAGCCUUGGUGCCCGAAGCUAACGUGAUAAAUCGACCGCCUGGGGAGUACGGCCGCAAGGUUAAAACUCAAAUGAAUUGACGGGGGCCCGCACAAGCGGUGGAGCAUGUGGUUUAAUUCGAUGCAACGCGAAGAACCUUACCUACUCUUGACAUCCAUGGAAUCCUGUAGAGAUACGGGAGUGCCUUUGGGAACCAUGAGACAGGUGCUGCAUGGCUGUCGUCAGCUCGUGUUGUGAAAUGUUGGGUUAAGUCCCGCAACGAGCGCAACCCUUAUCCUUUGUUGCCAGCGACUUGGUCGGGAACUCAAAGGAGACUGCCGGUGAUAAACCGGAGGAAGGUGGGGAUGACGUCAAGUCAUCAUGGCCCUUACGAGUAGGGCUACACACGUGCUACAAUGGCGUAUACAGAGGGUAACCAACCGGUGAUGGGGAGUGAAUCUCAAAAAGUACGUCUAGUUCGGAU